rnacentral:rRNA from 1 species
GACGAACGCUGGCGGCGUGCCUAAUACAUGCAAGUCGAACGCUUCUUUCCUCCCGAGUGCUUGCACUCAAUUGGAAAGAGGAGUGGCGGACGGGUGAGUAACACGUGGGUAACCUACCCAUCAGAGGGGGAUAACACUUGGAAACAGGUGCUAAUACCGCAUAACAGUUUAUGCCGCAUGGCAUAAGAGUGGAAGGCGCUUUCGGGUGUCGCUGAUGGAUGGACCCGCGGUGCAUUAGCUAGUUGGUGAGGUAACGGCUCACCAAGGCCACGAUGCAUAGCCGACGUGAGAGAGGGAUCGGCCACACUGGGACUGAGACACGGCCCAGACUCCUACGGGAGGCAGCAGUAGGGAAUCGUCGGCAAUGGACGAAAGUCUGACCGAGCAACGCCGCGUGAGUGAAGAAGGUUUUCGGAUCGUAAAACUCUGUUGUUAGAGAAGAACAAGGACGUUAGUAACUGAACGUCCCCUGACGGUAUCUAACCAGAAAGCCACGGCUAACUACGUG